AUUGAACGCCGGCGGCAGGCCUAACACAUGCAAGUCGAACGGUAACAGGAAGCAGCUUGCUGCUUCGCUGACGAGUGGCGGACGGGUGAGUAAUGUCUGGGAAACUGCCUGAUGGAGGGGGAUAACUACUGGAAACGGUAGCUAAUACCGCAUAAUGUCGCAAGACCAAAGAGGGGGACCUUCGGGCCUCUUGCCAUCGGAUGUGCCCAGAUGGGAUUAGCUAGUAGGUGGGGUAACGGCUCACCUAGGCGACGAUCCCUAGCUGGUCUGAGAGGCUGACCAGCCACACUGGAACUGAGCCACGGUCCAGACUCCUACGGGAGGCAGCAGUGGGGAAUAUUGCACAAUGGGCGCAAGCCUGAUGCAGCCAUGCCGCGUGUAUGAAGAAGGCCUUCGGGUUGUAAAGUACUUUCAGCGGGGAGGAAGGCGAUAAGGUUAAUAACCUUGUCGAUUGACGUUAUCCGCAGAAGAAGCACCGGCUAACUCCGUGCCAGCCGCCGCGGUAA
rnacentral:rRNA from 1 species